GCCCUUUUCUUGUUGCACGGCUGUUAUUUCUGUACAAGUAGUGCAAUUUGAAAAGGGCAU
rnacentral:pre_miRNA from 1 species